CGGGGUGUAGGAGAAGGAGAAACCAAGAGACAGUUUGAAUAUAUAGGUAAAUGAAUCAGCCCAUGACUAGCAAAAAAAAAAAAAAAAAAAAAAAAAAGGACAGAAAGAGGAAAAAGAAAGAAUGUUUUUCUUCAAAAAUGCUCUAACAUAUAUAGACAAAAUUUAGUGAUUAAAAAAUGUUUCAAUUAUUUUUAAAGGUAAAAUUAACUUGACUAUACCUCCUUGUCGACCAGCUUUAUUCCGCAGGACAUCUUAAACAGUGCAGGAAAACAAAAUAAUUGAAUCUCCCUGAUGAAAAACGGCCAGCAAGACUCUCCUGAUUCUGCCAGAUAUUGAUUUCUCUUGUCUAAUGUAUCAAAACUUGGUCAUCACAGUAACAACUGGAGGAGACAGAACAUGAAGGUGGAACCUAUGUCUGAAGUCUCUGGUGCCAAUCCUGUGCUAGGUAUCAAAUUAUAACACAAGUAAGAAGGAAGAUUUCUUUUCUAACCCAAUGAAGAAUAGCAGUGACUGAAAUACCAACAACUCGUCAACCAAGAAUCUAUGCUGCUGCCUGAAUAGAGAAACUAAUCCAGGAUUGAACAGAAUUCAUUGCCAGAGAUGGCCACAGCCACUGGUGUUUGAAGUGGCAGACUGCAGACGAAAACACAGCACAAGGGCAGUCCUAAUUUAUGUAAUUUUAGACCUUAUAGCAAGUACAACAGUAAAAACUUUUCCCUUCUUGAUUACACACACUACUA
rnacentral:lncRNA from 1 species